rnacentral:rRNA from 1 species
CAGCAGCCGCGGUAAUACGAAGGGUGCAAGCGUUACUCGGAAUUACUGGGCGUAAGGCGUGCGUAGGUGGUGGUUUAAGUCCGUUGUGAAAGCCCUGGGCUCAACCUGGGAAUUGCAGUGGAUACUGGGUCACUAGAGUGUGGUAGAGGAUAGUGGAAUUUCCGGUGUAGCAGUGAAAUGCGUAGAGAUCGGAAGGAACAUCUGUGGCGAAGGCGACUAUCUGGGCCAACACUGACACUGAGGCACGAAAGCGUGGGGAGCAAACAGGAUUAGAUACCCCUGUAGUCCCUGUCUCUUAUAC